UACGAAGGGGGCUAGCGUUGCUCGGAAUCACUGGGCGUAAAGCGCACGUAGGCGGAUCUUUAAGUCAGGGGUGAAAUCCCGGAGCUCAACUCCGGAACUGCCUUUGAUACUGGGGAUCUUGAGUUCGAGAGAGGUGAGUGGAACUGCGAGUGUAGAGGUGAAAUUCGUAGAUAUUCGGAAGAACACCAGUGGCGAAGGCGGCUCACUGGACUGGUAUUGACGCUGAGGCGCGAAAGCUAGGGGAGCAAACGGG
rnacentral:rRNA from 1 species